rnacentral:rRNA from 1 species
UACGGGGGGGGCAAGCGUUGUUCGGAAUUACUGGGCGUAAAGGGCUCGUAGGCGGCCAACUAAGUCAUACGUGAAAUCCCUCGGCUUAACCGGGGAACUGCGUCUGAUACUGGAUGGCUUGAGUUCGGGAGAGGGAUGCGGAAUUCCAGGUGUAGCGGUGAAAUGCGUAGAUAUCAGGAAGAACACCCGUGGCGAAGGCGGCUCUCUGGGACGGUACUGACGCUGAGACGCGAAAGCGUGGGGAGCGAACAGG